CCAAGCUCUCUGCAGCCUACGGGGACGGAGCCUAGUAGAUAUCCCUAUAGUACCGGCCCAUAAUAAGUCUGACCUAUGAUUGUCUUGCAAAGACAAUACUGAUCUAUCAGAGGGCCCCGGGGGGAACUCGGGCCUAGGGGGAACAUUCGGAUCCAUGAAAGAGUCUGGUCUGUAUAAACUAAAUUAGUCAUUAUUCUUGAAAUGAAAGAUAAAUUAUAUUAACUAAUUAAUAAUUUCAUAUAAUAUUUGUUUAGAACUCUAUUUUGAAUAUGUGAUAUAUUUUUAGUUGACCAAAUAGCCAACACAACUAUGAUAAAAUUAAACUAAAAGAGUAUAUUCGUCGACCACAUAUUUUCC